GUUUUUAGUGUUGCAGUUAAAAAGCUCGUAGUUGGAUUUUGAGAGAUGUGAGAGUGCUAGGUUGGAGUGAAAAACUUCAUACCGACUCUACUCUCUUGUAUAUCUGGUAGAUGCUUAACUGUGUUUAUCAGUAUUUUACUGUGAAUAAAAUCGAGUGUUUAAAGCAAGUCAUUGACCUUUGUCGAUUAUUAGCAUGGGAUAAUGGAAUAGGACCGUGAGGAUGAUGGGGGUAAUACUUUAUCAUUCACACGGUAAUGAUUAAAAGGGGUGGUUGGGGUGAUCAGUAUUUUAUGGGGAGGGGUGAAAUCCUUUGAUCCAUAAAAGACUAACUGAUGCGAAAGCGUUUCACAAGGACAUUUUCAUUAAUCAAGAACUAAAGUUAAGGGAGCGAAAAUGAUUAGAUACCAUUGUAGUCUUAACCAUAAACGAUGUCGGCCGAGGAUUGGGAGAAAGUGUGGUGUGUGGGGUCAAACUCAUGGCCACGCUUUUGACGAUUUAAAUCUCAUGGUGGCAACAUCAUGGGAUGUCAUGUCUCUCUCUGUACUCUGUUGGGAAACCAUUGAGCUUUUGGAUUCUGGGGGGAGUACGGUCGCAAGGCUGAAACUUAAAGGAAUUGACGGAAGGGCACCACCAGGAGUGGAGCUUGCGGUUCAAUUCGACUCAACGCGGGAAAACUUACCCGGUCAGAACACAAGAAUGAUUGACAGGUUGACAUUAUUAGUCCUUUCUUGAUUUUGUGGGUGGUGGUGCAUGGCCGUUUACAGUUGGUGGAGUGAUCUGUCUGCUUAAUUGCGAUAACGAACGAGACCCCAACCUAUUAAAUACGUUGAUUGAAAGAAAAUGGCAGUUAUCUGCUGGUGACGGUGGAAGGACUGGCUAUUUGGGUAAAACUGAAUAGUUUUGUUCUCUGCUCUAGUUGCUUGUAGUGUCAAUAUCCUUCAAAUAUAUCAACUUCUUAGAGGGACUACUAACAUUUAUUUUCA
rnacentral:rRNA from 1 species